AGGAUUUGCACUUACUGACAAGUGUUAAAUAGGUUUGGGUCAAGCUCGUGACGUUAAACAAGCACUACUAGGAGGCAACCUAGAUUCUCUCUUUUACCUUUGCAUUUAAAUUCUUAGAAUAGGUUGCAUUUUAUAUUCAGUGUGUAUGCUUGGCUUGACUACUUUUUCUGAAGAUGUUUGACUGGAUAAUUUGCAUGAUGAGACUAUUUGAUGUAGAUGAUAAUUGAGUUGCAAGGCAUGUUGAUAUUCUAUGAAACAGAUGGGUGAGGAAUUAUGAUUGUGGUUCUGAUGCUAAGCAAGAUGUAUGAAUGAAUAUUGUGUAAGAAAGCAUGUUGUGUGAGGUAUGGAGCUCCAGAUUUUUCAUUGUUGUAUGUAUUGUUCACAGGAAAGCAUGAAUGAUAUUGCCUUAAUCUGGAUGAUUGAUUGAAUUGCAUAUAAAUGUCAUAUGAUCAAGGCCAUUUUUGAAAACCCUUCUCUAGCCAAAUUUUCACCCAAAGUGCUUGAAAAUAUUAUACCAUUUUUGAACCUUAGCUUUAAACAGGAUGUGAACCCUUGUCUUGAAAUUCUUUACCUUGAGUUGGGAUGAGCUUGAUUGUAUGUGAUGAAAAGGUUCAAGUUUAGGGUUGUUGGGGGAAAUUGAAAGGCAAUUGAAAAGCAUUGAGCUCAAAAGUUGUUAAAGAAAACUACAUGAGAAAAAGAAAAGAAAAGAAGAAAAAGCAUGAAGAUGAGCUCAGUGCAAAAGAAAAGGGGAAAAGUUGGGAAUGAGUGAGAUUGGUGAGGAAGAGAGUUGUUCUUGAAUGUUGAAUAUUAUGAUAGCUCUCUUAAC
rnacentral:lncRNA from 1 species